CAAAUAAGCACGUAAGCAUUUGAGAGGAAGCAAAACUGAAAGAGUUUUACCAAUGUACAUAGAACAUCUAUAUUAAAAAGGACUAAUUCCUGCCUCCCUAUUCCCUGAGACACAAUACUGAAGUUAGGUCAGUUAAUAAACCUACAAUGGCCUCUAAUUGAUCAAUGGAAUGAAAAAGUCAUAUGUCUCUCACUUUAAAUCAAAAGCUAGAAAUGAUUAAGCUUAGUGAGGAAGGUACGCCUAAAGCCAAGAUAGGCUGAAAGGCCUCUUGUGUCAGAGAGUUACCCAACUUGUGAAUGCAAAAGAAAAGUUCUUUAAAAACAUUGAAAGUGAUUCUCCAGUGGACACAUGAAUGAUAAAAAGUGAAACAGUCUCAUUGCUGAUAUGAAUAAAGUUGGAAUGUUCUGGAUUGAAGAUCAAACCAGACACAACAUUCCCUUUAAGCCAAGACCUAUUCCAGAGUAAGGCCCUAACUCUCUUCCAUUCUCUGAAGGCUAAGAGUGAAGAGGAAGCUGCAGAAGCAAAAUUUGAAGCUAACAGAAGUUCAUUUGUGACGUUUAAGGAAAGAAGCCAUCUCCAAAACAUAAAAAUGCAAGGUGAAGCAAUGAGUACUGAUAUAGAAGCUGUGGCAAGUUACAUAGAAGAUCUGGCUAAGAUCACUGAUGAAGGCGGCAACAUUAACAACAGAUUUUUCAAUGUAGACAAAACAGCCUUCUAUUCCAAGAAGAUGUCUUCUACAAGUUUCAGAGCCACAGAGGAGAAACCAAUACCUGGCUUCAAAGUUCGAAGGACAAGCUGACUCUUUUAUUAGGGGAUAACACAGCUGGUGACUUUAUGUUGAAGCCAACGCUCAUUGACCAUUCUGAAAAUCUUAAGGACCUUCAGAAUUAUGCUAAAUCUACUCUACCUAUGCUCUAUAAAUGAAAUAACAAAACCUGAGUGACAGCAGAUCUGUAUACAGCAUGGUUUACCAAAUAUUUUAAGCCUAAUGUUGAGACG
rnacentral:lncRNA from 1 species